GACAGAGGGUGCAAACGUUGUUCGGAAUUACUGGGCGUAAAGCGCGUGUAGGCUGCUUCGCAAGUCGGAUGUGGAAGCCCUGGGCUCAACCCAGGAAGUGCAUUCGAAACUGCAGAGCUGGAGUCCUGGAGAGGAAGGCGGAAUUCUCGGUGUAGAGGUGAAAUUCGUAGAUAUCGAGAGGAACACCGGUGGCGAAGGCGGCCUUCUGGACAGUGACUGACGCUGAGACGCGAAAGCGUGGGGAGCAAACAGG
rnacentral:rRNA from 1 species